UCAUCUGGGGGCUGCUGGGCCUCACGGCGCUACGUCACGAACGGUCGCCUUAACAACCUCCCACAGCUCUCACUGCUGCGGACAACAGGCACCGCACCAUCUCUCACCAUGGCUCGGCCAACCAAUAGCUAGUCGAGUCCCAGAACUAGGGCCUGCCUAUUGGCCCAAGAGCCCUGGGGGCGCAAGCAUGUGGAAGGAAACAGUUUUCACAGUGAAGAAGACUGUAGUGAACAAAACAAAGAUUGAAAUAUUCUAAGUCUUAUCAAAAGGAAGGAGAAGGAGAAAAGAAGAAAAAGAGGAAGGAGUGGAAGAGGAAGAAGAAAAAGCAGGAGGAGGAGAAGAAGUGAAGGAAGGAAGGAAUUUACUCUCCUCAGGAAAAAAGAAUCCUCACACAAUGUAGAAACAACCUAUCUAUAAUCAGAGUGAGCGUCGUGUAUCCCUGAGAUUCUUAGGGAUUCUUGGCCAAGGUGGCUGGUUCACAAGCCAAUGAAAGACCAAGAAAGGAGGUGAAAUGAAGGAGGGAAGGAAGAACGAAUUUUGACUGAAAUAUGAGCACUAUUUUUUCUCCCUCAUUAACAAACCUGGUACUGGUCUCAGUUGAUAAGAGUGGAGUGUGCUGUUGAUGACAAAGGCUGUAUCCAAUUCACUUGUCAUGUCCCAACAACUUUCUCCUGUUUACCAUCAUCUUUCCAAUGCCAUCUUCUCCUUCCAGCUUUGUAUGGCUCCCAGUUGAGAGACAGCAGAAGAUUGUAAGAGUGAGGGGGAAAGAGGAAGAGCUUGCAAGGAUGUAGAUAAGAUCACACGAGGCAAGUGUGAAACAAAACAAAGAAGGAUAAUGGCCCAAAGAGGCCCACCUCAGCUUUUCUGAGCAACCCCAUAAAUUGCCAAAGAGCAAAGUGCCCAGGGCUACACACCUGUAAUAAAUUUGGUUACAAGUAACAGAGAACUUAAACUAAAAUAUUUAACAAAUAUUUUUAAAUAUUGGUUUAAACAAAAUAAGCAUCCCUUUCUUUUUUGGGUAAAGGAAACUGAAGAUAAGUAGUCUAGGAUUAGCAUGGCAGCCCAGGAUGCUUCCAAGGACCCUUCUAUCUGUCUGCUCCACCACCUUAGCCUGUCUUCCACCCUCACAGUCACUUUGAAGUCCAAGAAGGCAGCUAGAGCUCCAGCCUUCAUAUCUGCAUUUUCAUCCUUCUGGAAGGAGCAGAAUAAAAAACAAGAGGGCAAAAAAGAGCCCUUCCCAACUGAGUCAGCUCUCUUUUCAGUUUUUAUCUCAAUGACCAGAAGGCCUUAUCUAGCAACAAAGGAGUUGGGGAAUAUAAUCAUUUUCACCAGCAUUGUGCCCAGAUCAAACCUGAAGAAAGGCUCCCACUUCUCUGUCUUUCUUGUUGUCCCCAUACAGGGUGAGCGCACAAUGAGGGUCCGAUACAGUUACUGACCACUUAACUCAAAAACAGGAAACAAUUUUUACUAUCAAGAAUAUGGGGGCAAAGGAAAGGACAUAAACCUAAAAUCAAAGAUGUUUUAUAAACAUGAGCUUAAAAUGUCGAUGGAACUCUCGUUAACACAUAGAGUUGACUUUUAGCUAAAUCCACCAGAAAGGAAUACUGCUACAAAUGGUCCAGUGUAAAGAAGCAAUCCGGUAAACUAGCCAAGUGGGCUCUCUUUUUAAAUCAAAGGGCCUUGGACACUUAGGUGGCUCAGUCAGUUAAGCAUUGGACUCGUGAUCUCUGCUGGGGCCAUGAUCUCACAGUUCCUGGGGUGAGGCCGGUGCUCCCUCAGGCUCAACAGCGGCGCCUGCUUGGGAUUCUCUCUCUCUGCCCCUCCCCUGCUCGCGUACACGUGCUCUCAUGCUCUCUUGCGCGCAUGCUCCCUCUGUCUCUCUCUCUCAAAAUAACUAAACAAAAAGGUAAAAAAAGAAUAAAGGGUCUCAAUGGUCUUAUUCAUUGCUCUCUCUUCAGCACCUGUGACACCUAAAUGAAUGAAUGCGAUACAGCAUUUUUCUAAACAGUUGUCUUGAUUUUCUCAUUAUCCAGACCCCCUGCUUUUUCCUGUGCAUUUUUAAAUACCUAGCAGGUUCUCUAUGCUAUUUUAACUCUGUACGACAA